rnacentral:rRNA from 1 species
UAUAACCGGCGAUUUCCGAAUGGGGAAACCCAGUGUGUUUCGACACACUAUCAUUAACUGAAUCCAUAGGUUAAUGAGGCGAACCGGGGGAACUGAAACAUCUAAGUACCCCGAGGAAAAGAAAUCAACCGAGAUUCCCCCAGUAGCGGCGAGCGAACGGGGAGGAGCCCAGAGCCUGAAUCAGUGUGUGUGUUAGUGGAAGCGUCUGGAAAGGCGCGCGAUACAGGGUGACAGCCCCGUACACAAAAAUGCACAUGCUGUGAGCUCGAUGAGUAGGGCGGGACACGUGGUAUCCUGUCUGAAUAUGGGGGGACCAUCCUCCAAGGCUAAAUACUCCUGACUGACCGAUAGUGAACCAGUACCGUGAGGGAAAGGCGAAAAGAACCCCGGCGAGGGGAGUGAAAAAGAACCUGAAACCGUGUACGUACAAGCAGUGGGAGCCUCUUUUAUGGGGUGACUGCGUACCUUUUGUAUAAUGGGUCAGCGACUUAUAUUCUGUAGCAAGGUUAACCGAAUAGGGGAGCCGAAGGGAAACCGAGUCUUAACUGGGCGUUAAGUUGCAGGGUAUAGACCCGAAACCCGGUGAUCUAGCCAUGGGCAGGUUGAAGGUUGGGUAACACUAACUGGAGGACCGAACCGACUAAUGUUGAAAAAUUAGCGGAUGACUUGUGGCUGGGGGUGAAAGGCCAAUCAAACCGGGAGAUAGCUGGUUCUCCCCGAAAGCUAUUUAGGUAGCGCCUCGUGAAUUCAUCUCCGGGGGUAGAGCACUGUUUCGGCAAGGGGGUCAUCCCGACUUACCAACCCGAUGCAAACUGCGAAUACCGGAGAAUGUUAUCACGGGAGACACACGGCGGGUGCUAACGUCCGUCGUGAAGAGGGAAACAACCCAGACCGCCAGCUAAGGUCCCAAAGUCAUGGUUAAGUGGGAAACGAUGUGGGAAGGCCCAGACAGCCAGGAUGUUGGCUUAGAAGCAGCCAUCAUUUAAAGAAAGCGUAAUAGCUCACUGGUCGAGUCGGCCUGCGCGGAAGAUGUAACGGGGCUAAACCAUGCACCGAAGCUGCGGCAGCGACACUAUGUGUUGUUGGGUAGGGGAGCGUUCUGUAAGCCUGCGAAGGUGUGCUGUGAGGCAUGCUGGAGGUAUCAGAAGUGCGAAUGCUGACAUAAGUAACGAUAAAGCGGGUGAAAAGCCCGCUCGCCGGAAGACCAAGGGUUCCUGUCCAACGUUAAUCGGGGCAGGGUGAGUCGACCCCUAAGGCGAGGCCGAAAGGCGUAGUCGAUGGGAAACAGGUUAAUAUUCCUGUACUUGGUGUUACUGCGAAGGGGGGACGGAGAAGGCUAUGUUGGCCGGGCGACGGUUGUCCCGGUUUAAGCGUGUAGGCUGGUUUUCCAGGCAAAUCCGGAAAAUCAAGGCUGAGGCGUGAUGACGAGGCACUACGGUGCUGAAGCAACAAAUGCCCUGCUUCCAGGAAAAGCCUCUAAGCAUCAGGUAACAUCAAAUCGUACCCCAAACCGACACAGGUGGUCAGGUAGAGAAUACCAAGGCGCUUGAGAGAACUCGGGUGAAGGAACUAGGCAAAAUGGUGCCGUAACUUCGGGAGAAGGCACGCUGAUAUGUAGGUGAAGUCCCUCGCGGAUGGAGCUGAAAUCAGUCGAAGAUACCAGCUGGCUGCAACUGUUUAUUAAAAACACAGCACUGUGCAAACACGAAAGUGGACGUAUACGGUGUGACGCCUGCCCGGUGCCGGAAGGUUAAUUGAUGGGGUCAGCGCAAGCGAAGCUCUUGAUCGAAGCCCCGGUAAACGGCGGCCGUAACUAUAACGGUCCUAAGGUAGCGAAAUUCCUUGUCGGGUAAGUUCCGACCUGCACGAAUGGCGUAAUGAUGGCCAGGCUGUCUCCACCCGAGACUCAGUGAAAUUGAACUCGCUGUGAAGAUGCAGUGUACCCGCGGCAAGACGGAAAGACCCCGUGAACCUUUACUAUAGCUUGACACUGAACAUUGAGCCUUGAUGUGUAGGAUAGGUGGGAGGCUUAGAAGUGUGGACGCCAGUCUGCAUGGAGCCGACCUUGAAAUACCACCCUUUAAUGUUUGAUGUUCUAACGUGGACCCGUGAUCCGGGUUGCGGACAGUGUCUGGUGGGUAGUUUGACUGGGGCGGUCUCCUCCUAAAGAGUAACGGAGGAGCACGAAGGUUGGCUAAUCCUGGUCGGACAUCAGGAGGUUAGUGCAAUGGCAUAAGCCAGCUUGACUGCGAGCGUGACGGCGCGAGCAGGUGCGAAAGCAGGUCAUAGUGAUCCGGUGGUUCUGAAUGGAAGGGCCAUCGCUCAACGGAUAAAAGGUACUCCGGGGAUAACAGGCUGAUACCGCCCAAGAGUUCAUAUCGACGGCGGUGUUUGGCACCUCGAUGUCGGCUCAUCACAUCCUGGGGCUGAAGUAGGUCCCAAGGGUAUGGCUGUUCGCCAUUUAAAGUGGUACGCGAGCUGGGUUUAGAACGUCGUGAGACAGUUCGGUCCCUAUCUGCCGUGGGCGCUGGAGAACUGAGGGGGGCUGCUCCUAGUACGAGAGGACCGGAGUGGACGCAUCACUGGUGUUCGGGUUGUCAUGCCAAUGGCACUGCCCGGUAGCUAAAUGCGGAAGAGAUAAGUGCUGAAAGCAUCUAAGCACGAAACUUGCCCCGAGAUGAGUUCUCCCUGACCCUUUAAGGGUCCUGAAGGAACGUUGAAGACGACGACGUUGAUAGGCCGGGUGUGUAAGCGCAGCGAUGCGUUGAGCUAACCGGUACUAAUGAACCGUGAGGCUUAACCUUACAACGCCGAAGCUGUU